rnacentral:rRNA from 1 species
UCCGGGGGAAGUAUGGUUGCAAAGCUGGAACUUAAAGGAAUUGACGGAAGGGCACCACCAGGAGUGGAGCCGGUGGCUUAAUUUGACUCAACGCGGGGAAAUUUACCAGGCCCGGACACUAGAAGGAUUGACAGAUUGAGAGCUCUUUCUUGAUUUGGUGGAUGGUGGUACAUGGCCGUUCUUAGUUGGUGGAGUGAUUGGUCUGGUUAAAUCCGAUAACGAACGAGACUCUGGCCUGCUAAAUAAGGCGGCGGGUUCCCAACUCCGCUCCGCGGUUCGGGUCACGUGCGGUCUGCGUCUCUGGGGUUCGCUCCUUGGGCGUGGGCAGUCGGGGCUCGGCUCGGGCGGGGCCGCCCGUCCUUUGCGCUUCUCUUCUUAGAGGGACAAGGCAGCUUCAAGCUGCGUGAAAUGGGGCAAUAACAGGUCUGUGAUGCCCUUAGAUGUUCUGGGCCGCACACGCGCUACACUGAGGGUGGCAGCGUGUUUAUUUUCCUGACUCGAGACGAGUUGGGUAACCCUGUCAAUCACCCUCGUGCUGGGGAUUGAGGUUUGCAAUUUUCCUUCAUGAACGAGGAAUUCCCAGUAGGUGCGAGUCAUCAGCUCGCGCCGACUACGUCCCUGCCCUUUGUA